rnacentral:rRNA from 1 species
UACGGAGGGUGCGAGCGUUGUCCGGAAUUACUGGGCGUAAAGGGCGCGUAGGCGGCCCGCUAAGUCGAACGUGAAAUCCCCAGGCUCAACCUGGGAACUGCGUCCGAUACUGGCAGGCUUGAAUCCGGGAGAGGGAUGUGGAAUUCCAGGUGUAGCGGUGAAAUGCGUAGAUAUCUGGAGGAACACCGGUGGCGAAGGCGGCAUCCUGGACCGGUAUUGACGCUGAGGCGCGAAAGCUAGGGGAGCAAACGGG